rnacentral:rRNA from 1 species
AUUGAACGCUGGCGGAAUGCUUUACACAUGCAAGUCGAACGGCAGCACGGGGGCAACCCUGGUGGCGAGUGGCGAACGGGUGAGUAAUACAUCGGAACGUGCCCAGUCGUGGGGGAUAACUACGCGAAAGCGUAGCUAAUACCGCAUGAGAUCUGUGGAUGAAAGCGGGGGACCUUUGGGCCUCGCGCGAUUGGAGCGGCCGAUGGCAGAUUAGGUAGUUGGUGGGGUAAAGGCUCACCAAGCCGACGAUCUGUAGCUGGUCUGAGAGGACGACCAGCCACACGGGGACUGAGACACGGCCCAGACUCCUACGGGAGGCAGCAGUGGGGAAUUUUGGACAAUGGGCGCGAGCCUGAUCCAGCCAUUCCGCGUGCAGGAUGAAGGCCCUCGGGUUGUAAACUGCUUUUGUACGGAACGAAAAGGCUCUGGUUAAUACCUGGAGCUGAUGACGGUACCGUAAGAAUAAGCACCGGCUAACUACGUGCCAGCCGCCGCCGUAACAC